CUUCAGUCCUCUUGAGGGCCAUUCUGUCCCCUAGGAGAAUGACAUGGCUGUGGCUUCCAACACUAUGGUAGCUUGAAUGUAAUUGACCCCCAUGAGCUCACAGGGAGUGGCACUAUUAGGAGGUGUGGCUUUGUUGGAGUAGGUAUGACCUUGUUGGAGGAAGCGUGUCUCUGUGGGGUGGGCUUUGAGGUCUCUUUUGUUCAUGCUUCCCUCAGUGUGAUACUGAGACCAUUUCCUGUUGCCUGCAAGAUGUAGGACUCUCAGCUAUUUUGCCAGCACCAUGUCUGCCUGCACUCUGCCACAAUCCCCACCAUGAGGAUGGUGGACUGAACCUCUGAAAAUGUAAGCCACCCCAAUGAAAUGUUUUCCUUUAUAAGAGUUGCUGAGGUCAUGGUGUCUCUUCACAGCAAUAGACACCCUAAAACCCAAAGGCCCACUCCAGUGCCUGACAGGUUCUGCUCCUCAUCCAGCAGCUGCAGCAAGAGCCUGGUGAGGCUUCCCCUCUGACCCACAGACCUGGCUGUGGUCCUCGUCCAAAUCGGCUCCUCCAAGUCAGGAUCUUUUCUUGUUUUGUUUCAGAGUGGGGUCAGCCCAGGAUGUGGCCCACGCUAAAGAAAGCAGUCUGUUUUGAGCCACAUUCCUAUCUAACCCCGCUGCCCUGAAGAGGGGUGAGCAGCUGGACUCUGACUCAUUUUUCCUGUGUCCUAUUGUGGGUCAGGUGCCUUUCCCCGCCUCAGUCUGCCUCUGUGUGUUUCUCUUUCCCUUCCCUUCCACUGUUUCUCUCUGAAGGAGUCUCCCGCCCAGGGAAGCCCAAUCUUUCCUUCCUCCCUCCUCUGGGAUCAGGACAGUCAAGGUCUUCCUCCUAGGCAGACUUUAGCUAGCCUUUGGUCUGGGACGAGAAGAAGGGGAUGGUGACAGUCUUAGUGGAGGUCAGAGCCCCGCGGACAAGUCUUCGGCCCUGAACCUUGAUGAGCUAUGGAUGGCACCAAGAGUCUCUCUGACAGAGCUGGGGAAGUGGAGACCAGGAAUGAGGCUGAGGAGAUCCUAGCCCAGGCUGAGCGGACCCAAGCCCAGGCUGAGUUGGCCCGAGCCCAAGCUGAGAAGAUCCUAGUCCAGGCUGAGGUUAUCCGAGCCCAGGCUGAGUUGACACAAGCCCAGAAUGAGUUGACCCAAGCCCAUGCUGAGAAGAUCCUAGUCAAAGCUGAGGAAGUCCUAGCCCAGGCUAAGGAGAUCCUAGCCCAGGGUCAGUUGACCAAAGCCCUGGCUGAGGAGGUCCUAGACCAGGCUGAAGAUGUCCUAGACCAGGCUGAAGAAGUCAUAGCCCAGGCCGUGUUGACCCAAGCUAAGGAUCAAAACCAAAACCAGAUGGAAGAGAGCCAAACCAAAGAGAGUCAAGCUGUGAGAGAACACAGCAAAGCUAAAGAUCAGAGCCAAGACAAGACCAAAGAUAGCCAAGAUGAGGCCAAGGGAGAUUGGGACAAACAGAAGAGCCAAGAUCAGCCCAAAGCUCUAAAAUGGAUUUGGUGCAAAAUCCAGCAUUUCUUUAAGAAGUUGAAGGAAAUUUUUAAAUGCCUUUGUUAAGUUUGUUAUGCCGAAAAGACAGUGAAGGAAAAUUUUAAUGCCUUUGUUAUUUAUGCCAAGCCGGCCACUACUUUGUUUUAUAGGAAUUCCUGAAAAACUUAUUCAUCUGAAACAUGUCCAAGUAGGUGUAGGUAACAGUGCGAGCCUGCCCUUUUCUAAUGUCUUGUAGAGAAUGUUCUCAAGUCCCUUCCAUUUUCUCUAUUGGAGCUACUCUGUGUAGCUUGCUCCCCUGUAUGUCUAUUCUGUUGCUCUUGUCCUAGGCUCCCUAAUAAAAGUUGCUUUAAAGGAAGCAAGUAUUUGUCUGGAUCUUCUUUGACAGUUCUAUGUGGAAACCCUUGGAAGGUUGCAUCAUCUCUACUGUGUGUAAAGUGGACACUGGUCACUAUGCAGUACUAGGUUUGUGGUGAACUCUUUCUGGUACAUAGUAAGUGCUCAGUGAUCCCCUGGACUAGGUCAGCACACUUCGACCCUCAGAGAAUUUCAGUUAGCCUGUCCACUUUCUGUGUCAUAGGAUGCUGUAGAUUAAACUCAUUGUUAAUAAAAACUUAUUGGCUGGUAGCAGGGCAAGAAGAGAUAGGGUGAGACAGACUGACACAAAGAGAUGAUGUGAAGAGAAAGGGCAGAGUCAGGAGAGUCUCGGACUACACCAGCCAGCUUCUGAGCAAACAGGAUGUAUAGAAAAUGAGAUAACACACCAUGAGCCGUGUGGCAAAGCAUAAAUAGAAAUAUGGGUUAAUUUAAAUGUAAGAGUUAGCUAGUAACAAGCCUGAGGUAUUGACUGAGCAUUGAUAAUUAAUAAAAUGUGCAGGGUGUUUGUGAGUGGCUGUAGGACAGGAAAACUUCUACAAUAGGAUGUAGGAGACACUCUUGCUUUUCGUUUGUGUUUGUUUGUUUGGAGACUGUGUCUAACUUAAACUGGCUUCAAAUGCUCCUGUCUCAGACGCCAUAAUAAUCAUAACUACAGGUGUACACAGGUCAUUUGCUUAUUUGAUCAAAAAUUCCUGCAGGGAACAGAAGACACAGGGCCAAAAGGCUUAGACAGACAAUAUAGACAUCAGGAAUGAGUAAAAGGGGGCUAGGACAUCCAGGGACUCUGAGGCAUCAAAUGAUGGCUGAUACCAGGAAAGCCCCCAGAGUAAGGAUUGAUGUAAUUAAUAUACAGAAUGCCACUUUUGUGUGAAUUUUGUAUAAAUAUGCCCUUAAAUCAAAGGGUGUGUGAGGCAGUGGUAGCACAUGCCUUUAAUCCCAGUACUCGGCAGGCAGAGGCAGGUGGAUCUCUGUGAGUUCGAGGCCUGGAAUUGUGGUCUUCAAAGACAGUUCCAGGGUUCCAGGAUAGUCUCCAAACCUACAGAGAAACCCUGUGUCGGAGGAAAAAAAAAGGGGGGGGCGGGGGGAGUGCCUUUACCCUGUUGUCCUUUGCCUGUGUGUGUGGCUUGUGUUCCGAUAAAUAAAGUAAGUCUCAUUUGCCGACAGUUCCUUGAAUUUCCUCAGUCUCCCCCUUUCCAGCUUGGUAUCUUGAACCUCAUCAAACUCUGUUGUCGAUCUACAAUGAAUAAGUAGUAUGGGCUACUGUGAUGUGGCUGUUCCCUCUAGGAUUGACGUGACCACUGCCUCCAGGAAGCAGAGCUACUGUGGUUGCCUGUGGGAGCAAAAUAAACAACCAUAUAGCUAAUAGCCAGGCCUAUGGCAAUAGGGCUGUUCACAUUCUUUCUGAGAGGGUGGGAAGAGACUACCUCCUCCUCCUUUCCUAGCCAUAUAUAAUCUAAGGAAUUCUAAAAUAAAAAUGAUGAUGUGAGGUCAGUAGUUUAAGACCAGCCUCAGCUAUGUAGUGAGUUUGAGAGAAUUCCAGGCUACACAAGACCAGGUCUUAAAAUAAUAAAG
ensembl:lincRNA